ACGACGUGUCCCGUAGUGGGGGAUAGCCCGGCGAAAGCCGGAUUAAUACCGCAUAUGCUCUACGGAGGAAAUGGGGGACUCGCAAGGGCCUCACGCUAUGGGAGCGGCCGAUGUCCGAUUAGCUUGUUGGCGGGGUAAUGGCUCACCAAGGCAACGAUCGGUAGCCGGCCUGAGAGGGUGAUCGGCCACACCGGAACUGAGACACGGUCCGG
rnacentral:rRNA from 1 species